UUCAAAAUCCUAUAAGGCCCGCCAUUUUGAAAAUUCGAAUCAUAUAAAACCGACAGACUAUAUGAAUAUUUUAUGGUCGGUUUAUUAUUUAUUUGUUACUAUCUUCAGCAAUAGUCAAGGUCAAAAAUGCAAUGUUUCACAAAUUUUAUAUUUCAGGUGAUAUUUUAUAGAGUAAAGUGAAAAUUUUUGUGUUUUAAAUUAAAAUAUGAGAGUAUGUAAUUUUCAUGAUAUUUAUAUUUAAUGAUAGAUUUUGAAUGUUCCCAUAUUAAAAUUUAGCCGCAUUUGUGUUUUACAUAUUUUAUAUUAUCUGGAAGGAAUCCGAAAAUUGAAGUUACUAAUGAAUCGAAAAUGAAAAGAACGAUUUGUAAAUGUCAAAUCCGGUAAGAACCGCCAUUUUCAAAAUUGGAAUGUUAUAAAACCGACAGACUGUAUAAAUAUUUUAGUCAUAGAAUGGUUACAGAAAUUCAACCCCACGGAGACGAACAUACGCGUAGCAUGUUGCCUAAUCAAUUCGCGGUGGUAGAACUGUUGACGUUCAUCAGGGCUACCGAUUUCAACUCAAUUCGGUCGCACUCUCGGUCAGUGAGGAUCCCAUGACGAGCGGAAUGGAUGUUAAAUCGCCGAAACACCUUUACCCCAAGUUCAAUCGUCCAUGGUCGGAUCAAAUGUGCCGGCCACAAGACGUGGACUUCGAGGUGCCCCCGGAGUACCUCGUCAAUCACGCAAUCAGGUGAAAAACGGAAUUUCUUUUCGUUGUCAACCAACCACACUAGAUGAAAAUAUCGCACGUCAAACACAAACACUUGUUGAAACAGCUAAAUUAUUACUCUAGAAUAGGAAACAAAAUAAGGACAGACUUCCACCAAUCAAUCUGAGCACAUACAACGAGGACUUCCUCUUUUACACGUUCUACAACAGUUUCGGUGACGUACUGCAAAUCGAAGCGGCGGAGGAGCUGUAUGCGAAUGGUUUCUUGUGAAUUCUUGUUAAUAUUAUUAUUUUAGAUAUAACAGAGAUUGGAGGUAUCACAUGGAAAAACAAAUGUGGAUCACUAGGGUUCCAGGGACGGUUCCCACUGAAAGGACUCUCACGUACGAAAAGGGAACGUAUUAUUUCUUUGACCCGACGAACUGGAGGAAAGUUGUCAAAAGGUUCCAUUUGGAUUACGUUAAAUUGGAGAACCAGCCUAAACUUGAUGACUGUAAUUUGCAUUACUCAUUUUAUUUCUUAAAUCAACCAACUCAGCUUCUAGAUAAAUAGGAAUAGACAUGUACGUUCAAAUUUAUUACAUAUAACUUAUUAAUACUACUAAUAAAAUAUAAUACAUAUUGUUUUCAAGUGUCUUAUUAACUUAUUAAGCUAAUUUAGUUGAGUUUGUUUCAGGUUUAUUAAAAUAUUUACCACGACAGUCAAAUGAUGUUUAAAGGCUAUUAAGAUGUAAUUUAUUAUCUCAUUUAAAAAUGCCAAGUAUAAUUUCCUAAAGGGUGCUUUGGAAAUCUAUUAUUGUUUAAUGUUUUACUAUCUGUUUCAAUUUUAAUAAAAAAUAAUUCUUUUGUAAUAUUUUAAUCCUUCAAUAAGUUUUGAUACUCACCUACUUUUGAUUUCAGGUGACGUUCUUCGGAGAGAACGUUCCUUCACACAUAAUCUUUAGCUGAAUUUUAUUUUUUGAAAUGCUUAAAUUUUAAUAUUGUAAUAUUUUAAA